GAUGAACGCUGGCGGCGUGCCUAAUACAUGCAAGUCGAGCGAACAGAUGAGAAGCUUGCUUCUCUGAUGUUAGCGGCGGACGGGUGAGUAACACGUGGGUAACCUACCUAUAAGACUGGAAUAACUCCGGGAAACCGGGGCUAAUACCGGAUAAUAUUUUGAACCGCAUGGUUCAAUAGUGAAAGACGGUUUCGGCUGUCACUUAUAGAUGGACCCGCGCCGUAUUAGCUAGUUGGUAAGGUAACGGCUUACCAAGGCGACGAUACGUAGCCGACCUGAGAGGGUGAUCGGCCACACUGGAACUGAGACACGGUCCAGACUCCUACGGGAGGCAGCAGUAGGGAAUCUUCCGCAAUGGGCGAAAGCCUGACGGAGCAACGCCGCGUGAGUGAUGAAGGUCUUCGGAUCGUAAAACUCUGUUGUUAGGGAAGGACAAAUUUGUUAGUAACUGAACAAGUCUUGACGGUACCUAACCAGAAAGCCACGGCUAACUACGUGCCAGCAGCCGCGGUAA
rnacentral:rRNA from 1 species